AGAGUUUGAUCAUGGCUCAGGAUGAACGCUAGCGGCAGACUUAAUACAUGCAAGUCGUGGGGCAGCAUGGUUGUAGCAAUACAACUGAUGGCGACCGGCAAACGGGUGCGGAACACGUACGCAAUCUACCCAGAACUGGUGAAUAGCCUUCCGAAAGGAAGAUUAAUACACCGUAAGAUCACAAAGUGGCAUCACUUAGGGAUUAAAGCUCCGGCGGUUUUGGAUGAGCGUGCGCCCCAUUAGGUAGUUGGUUGAGGUAAUGGCUCACCAAGCCUGCGAUGGGUAACUGGUGUGAGAGCACGACCAGUCACACGGGCACUGAGACACGGGCCCGACUCCUACGGGAGGCAGCAGUAAGGAAUAUUGGUCAAUGGACGCAAGUCUGAACCAGCCAUGCCGCGUGGAGGAUGAAGGCCCUCUGGGUUGUAAACUUCUUUUAUGGGGGACGAAAUCACUUAUUCUUAAGUGUCUGACGGUACCCCAGGAAUAAGCACCGGCUAACUCCGUGCCAGCAGCCGCGGUAAUACGGAGGGUGCAAGCGUUAUCCGGAUUCACUGGGUUUAAAGGGUGCGUAGGAGGGCAGGAAAGUCAGUGGUGAAAUCUUCGAGCUUAACUCGGAAACUGCCGUUGAUACUACUUGUCUUGAAUAUCGUGGAGGUGAGCGGAAUAUGUCAUGUAGCGGUGAAAUGCUUAGAUAUGACAUAGAACACCAAUUGCGAAGGCAGCUCGCUACACGAAUAUUGACUCUGAGGCACGAAAGCGUGGGGAUCAAACAGGAUUAGAUACCCUAGUAGUCC
rnacentral:rRNA from 1 species